rnacentral:rRNA from 1 species
CCUACGGGAGGCAGCAGUGAGGAAUUUUGCGCAAUGGACGAAAGUCUGACGCAGCGACGCCGCGUGUGCGAUGAAGGCCUUUGGGUCGUAAAGCACUGUCGACCGGGACGAAAACUCACGGACUAAUACUUCGUGAGUCUGACGGUACUGGUAAAGGAGGAACCGGCUAACUCU